rnacentral:rRNA from 1 species
UGGCGGCAUGCCUUCCAUGCAAGUCGAACGGUAACAGGUCUUCGGAUGCUGACGAGUGGCGAACGGGUGAGUAAUACAUCGGAACGUGCCCGAGAGUGGGGGAUAACGAAGCGAAAGCUUUGCUAAUACCGCAUACGAUCUCAGGAUGAAAGCAGGGGACCGCAAGGCCUUGCGCUCAGGAGCGGCCGAUGGCAGAUUAGGUAGUUGGUGGGAUAAAAGCUUACCAAGCCGACGAUCUGUAGCUGGUCUGAGAGGAUGAUCAGCCACACUGGGACUGAGACACGGCCCAGACUCCUACGGGAGGCAGCAGUGGGGAAUUUUGGACAAUGGGGGAAACCCUGAUCCAGCCAUGCCGCGUGCAAGAUGAAGGCCUUCGGGUUGUAAACUGCUUUUGUACGGAACGAAAAGGUUCUCUCUAAUACAGAGGGCUCACGACGGUACCGUAAGAAUAAGCACCGGCUAACUACGUGCCAGCAGCCGCGGUAAU